GCUGAUUUCUCACCUUUCUUAGGAUCAUUGAGACCCCACGAGGAACAUGAAGGUGCUGUGUCAACAAUGGACUCACUCCAGUUGAAUAUUCCUGGGAGCUUUGACAGGCCACCCCUGUAACUGGAUGCCGUCAGAUGAUGCUCCAAAAUUUGUCUGUGUGGACUCUCAGCUGUUUUGCAUCCUCUCAUUGCACCACUGGGGUUCUCCAAAGCCCUUGUAGUCCCCAUCACAAUGACUACACCCCACCUUUAGAGCUUCUUUGGUGACAGAAUCGGGACAGCUCCACCAUCAGCAGGAUCAAAGCCGCAGCAAGACAGAGAUGGAUUAAUAAGUAAAGAAAAGUGCAACAGAACAAGAAAGGCGCCCAGAUCGCACAAAGGUGGUAAAGUCACCUGGGGCCUCCAGAGGAGAAGAAGUUUUCAGACGUGUUUGUUUUGCUGUACUUGCCGAAAGAGUUUCUGUGCAUGAGUGUCUACCAUUCCAGGAACAGCAGGAGCAGAGGAGGAAGGAAGAUGGACUGCCACUGCUGUAGCUGGCAUACAGAAGUUUGAAGAGCAAAAGAAGGCAUGUGCUUACACCGGCAUUCACCCAGCAUGCCGCUGUUCAUUAUUCCACCAAUCUGUCAGCUCCUACUCCUGAAUCAUCGUGGUGAUACAGAAGGAGGCGCGGCCAAGCCCCCCAGUCCCGUACAGUUAUUUUUGAUGUUUGAGGAUAUGAAUGGUUCAUUGA